CUUUUCCAGCUGCAGGACUACGCCCUGCCCUCCGUCCUGGAGUCCUUCACCGGAUGGACCACGGUGCGUCUGUAUCCGUUCCAGAUCCACAGCAUCGCUCUCUCCUCCUUCGCCUCCAUCAUGGGACCCUUCGGAGGAUUCUUCACCAGCGGCUUCAAGAGAGCCUUCAAGAUCAAAGAUUUUGCCAACACGCUCCCAGGUCACGGUGGCAUUAUGGACCGGUUCGACUGCCAGUACCUCAUGGCCACA